UAAAAAAAGGUAAGCUACUAAGAGCGAAUGGUGGAUGCCUUGACUGGUAAAGGCGAUGAAGGACGUACUAGACUGCGAUAAGCUACGGGGAGCUGUCAAGAAGCUUUGAUCCGUAGAUUUCCGAAUGGGGCAACCCAAUGUAUAGAGAUAUACAUUACCUAUAUAGGAGCGAACGAGGGGAAUUGAAACAUCUUAGUACCCUCAGGAAAAGAAAUCAAUAGAGAUUGCGUCAGUAGCGGCGAGCGAAAGCGCAAGAGGGCAAACCCAGUGCUUGCACUGGGGGUUGUAGGACUGCAAUGUGCAAGAGGUAAGUUUAGCAGAACAUUCUGGAAAGUAUAACCAUAGAGGGUGAUAGUCCCGUAUGCGAAAAACAAACCUUAGCUAGCAGUAUCCUGAGUAGGGCGGGACACGAGGAAUCCUGUCUGAAUCCGGGUCGACCACGAUCCAACCCUAAAUACUAAUACCAGAUCGAUAGUGCACAAGUACCGUGAGGGAAAGGUGAAAAGAACUGAGGUGAUCAGAGUGAAAUAGAACCUGAAACCAUUUGCUUACAAUCAUUCAGAGCCCUAUGUAGCAAUACAGGGUGAUGGACUGCCUUUUGCAUAAUGAGCCUGCGAGUUGUGGUGUCUGGCAAGGUUAAGCAAACGCGAAGCCGUAGCGAAAGCGAGUCUGAAUAGGGCGCUUAGUCAGAUGCUGCAGACCCGAAACGAAGUGAUCUAUCCAUGAGCAAGUUGAAGCUAGUGUAAGAACUAGUGGAGGACUGAACCCAUAGGCGUUGAAAAGCCCCGGGAUGACUUGUGGAUAGGGGUGAAAGGCCAAUCAAACUUCGUGAUAGCUGGUUCUCUCCGAAAUAUAUUUAGGUAUAGCGUUGUGUCGUAAUAUAAGGGGGUAGAGCACUGAAUGGGCUAGGGCAUACACCAAUGUACCAAACCCUAUCAAACUCCGAAUACCUUAUAUGUAAUCACAGCAGUCAGGCGGCGAGUGAUAAAAUCCGUCGUCAAGAGGGAAACAACCCAGACUACCAGCUAAGGUCCCUAAAUCU
rnacentral:rRNA from 1 species